rnacentral:rRNA from 1 species
GAUGAACGAGGGUGGAGGGAAGAAUACAGGCAAGUCGAGCGAACGGACGAGAAGCUUGCUUCUCUGAUGUAAGCGGCGGACGGGUGAGUAACACGUGGAUAAACUACCUAUAAGACUGGGAUAAAUUCGGGAAACCGGAGCUAAUACCGGAUAAUAUUUUGAAACGCAUGGUUCAAAAGUGAAAGACGGUCUUGCUGUCACUUAUAGAUGGAUCCGCGCUGCAUUAGCUAGUUGGUAAGGUAACGGCUUACCACGGCAACGAUGCAUAGCCGACCUGAGAGGGUGAUCGGCCACACUGGAACUGAGACACGGUCCAGACUCCUACGGGAGGCAGCAGUAGGGAAUCUUCCGCAAUGGGCGAAAGCCUGACGGAGCAACGCCGCGUGAGUGAUGAAGGUCUUCUGAUCGUAAAACUCUGUUAUUAGGGAAGAACAUAUGUGUAAGUAACUGUGCACAUCUUGACGGUACCUAAUCAGAAAGCCACGGCUAACUACGUG